UAAAAAUGUUUACUUUUAUUAAAACCUGAAAUCUCUAUGAUGUAAACAGGAAAUGGAAAAGCAUCUUCUGGUUUAUAGAAGUUCUGUAGAUACACAUGUCCACAGAUAACAGCACUGAUUUAUCACGGUAAGCAGCAGGCUUCUACUUUCAUUGUUCACUGUACUGGAU